UACGUAGGGUGCGAGCGUUGUCCGGAAUUAUUGGGCGUAAAGGGCUCGUAGGCGGUUUGUCGCGUCGGGAGUGAAAACUCAGGGCUUAACCCUGAGCCUGCUUCCGAUACGGGCAGACUAGAGGUAUGCAGGGGAGAACGGAAUUCCUGGUGUAGCGGUGAAAUGCGCAGAUAUCAGGAGGAACACCGGUGGCGAAGGCGGGUCUCUGGGCCGUUACUGACGCUGAGACACGAAAGCGUGGGUAGCAAACAGG
rnacentral:rRNA from 1 species